GGUGGCAUGGUGUAAGGGUUAGCAUGUAUCGUUGUGGCUCAACAUCUGCCAGGUGGACCUAUCCGAUCCGAUCCCAGUUCGACUCUGGGUGCCGCCA